rnacentral:piRNA from 1 species
UGCAAUCACCCUCAUCGCCAUGCUCACCC